rnacentral:rRNA from 1 species
UACAGAGGUCUCAAGCGUUGUUCGGAUUCAUUGGGCGUAAAGGGUGUGUAGGUGGCGCUGUAAGUCGGGUGUGAAAUUUCGGAGCUUAACUCCGAAACUGCAUUCGAUACUGCGGUGCUUUGAGGACUGGAGAGGAGACUGGAAUUCAUGGUGUAGCAGUGAAAUGCGUAGAGAUCAUGAGGAAGACCAGUGGCGAAGGCGGGUCUCUGGACAGUUCCUGACACUGAGACACGAAGGCCAGGGGAGCAAACGGG